rnacentral:rRNA from 1 species
GACGAACGCUGGCGGCGUGCUUAACACAUGCAAGUCGAACGAUGAAGCCCUUCGGGGUGGAUUAGUGGCGAACGGGUGAGUAACACGUGAGCAACCUGCCCUUCACUUCGGGAUAAGCCUUGGAAACGGGGUCUAAUACCGGAUAUGAGCCUGUGCCGCAUGGUGUGGGUUGGAAAGUUUUUCGGUGAGGGAUGGGCUCGCGGCCUAUCAGCUUGUUGGUGGGGUAAUGGCCUACCAAGGCGUCGACGGGUAGCCGGCCUGAGAGGGCGACCGGCCACACUGGGACUGAGACACGGCCCAGACUCCUACGGGAGGCAGCAGUGGGGAAUAUUGCACAAUGGGCGAAAGCCUGAUGCAGCGACGCCGCGUGGAGGAUGACGGCCUUCGGGUUGUAAACUCCUUUCAGCAGGGAAGAAGCGCAAGUGACGGUACCUGCAGAAGAAGCACCGGCUAACUACGUG